rnacentral:rRNA from 1 species
UACGUAGGGUGCAAGCGUUGUCCGGAAUUAUUGGGCGUAAAGAGCUCGUAGGCGGUCUGUCGCGUCUGGUGUGAAAACUCAGGGCUUAACCCUGAGCUUGCAUCGGGUACGGGCAGACUAGAGUGCGGUAGGGGAGACUGGAAUUCCUGGUGUAGCGGUGAAAUGCGCAGAUAUCAGGAGGAACACCGGUGGCGAAGGCAGGUCUCUGGGCCACUACUGACGCUGAGAAGCGAAAGCAUGGGGAGCGAACAGG